CUUAAGGUCCAGCAGCUUGACAUACAACAGCAAGCACUGAAACUCACUGCAAACAGUAUGUAUGGUUGCCUGGGUUUUUCCAAUUCCAGAUUCUAUGCAAAACCGCUUGCAGAGCUGAUAACACUACAAGGAAGGGAGAUCCUACAAAGUACUGUUGAUCUAGUUCAGAAUAAUUUAAACUUAGAGGUGAUCUAUGGUGAUACAGAUUCAAUUAUGAUUUAUAGUGGACUUGAUGAUAUUGCAAAAUGUAAGGCGAUUGCAAGGAAGGUCAUCCAAGAGGU